CCAUGUACAAGUCUCUUGGAACAGAGCGUCAUAGAGGGUGAGAAUCCCGUCCUUGACAUGGACUCCCRGUGCUUUGUGUUGUGCUCUCAACGAGUCGAGUUGUUUGGGAAUGCAGCUCAAAAUGGGUGGUAAAUUCCAUCUAAAGCUAAAUAUUGGCGAGAGACCGAUAGCGAACAAGUACCGUGAGGGAAAGAUGAAAAGCACUUUGGAGAGAGAGUUAAACAGUACGUGAAAUUGUUGAAAUGGAAACGCUUGAAGUCAGUCGCGUUCUCUGGGAUUCAGCCUUGCUUUUGCUUGGUGCAUUUCCUAGUCUACGGGCCAGCAUGAAUUUCGACCGGUGGAAAAAGAUUUGGGGAAUGUGGCACCUUCGGGUGUGUUAUAGCCCCUUGUCACAUACACCGGUUGGGAUUGAGGUCUUAGUGCACGCUUCGGUUGUGCUUUGAUGCUGGCGUAAUGGCUUUAAACGACCCGUCUUGAAACACGGACCAAGGAGUCUAACAUGUCUGCGAGUGUUUGGGUGYAAAACCCGAGCGCGCAAUGAAAGUGAUAGUUGGGAACCUCUUCAGAGGGGCACCGACGCCCGGACCAGACCUUCUGUGACGGAUCCGAGGUAGAGCAUAUAUGUUGGGACCCGAAAGAUGGUGAACUAUGCCUGCAUAGGGUGAAGCCAGAGGAAACUCUGGUGGAGGCUCGUAGCGAUUCUGACGGCAAAUCGAU
rnacentral:rRNA from 1 species